rnacentral:tRNA from 7 species
GCCCAGGUGGCUCAGUGGUAGAGCAUCCCCUUGGUAAGGGGAAGGUCGAGGGUUCAAUUCCCUCCCUGGGCUCCA